AGUCUGUCAUUAGAAUAUUUAGUUUCUGUCAUUAGAAAAAGGAAAAAUACAAUGUGGCUGAAAUUGUCACAGGUCAUGCUUCCAUCACAGUAAAUGUUUACAGUGGUUACAAUGAGACCUAUAACAUUU
ensembl:snoRNA small nucleolar RNA SNORA1